CGCCUGUUUAUUAAAAACAUGGUUUUUAAAAAUUUAAUUAAAAAUUAAACCUGCCAAUUGAUAAUAAUUAAAAGGCCGCAGUAUUUUGACUGUGCUAAGGUAGCAUAAUCAUUAGAUUUAUAAUUGAAAUCUAGAAUGAAUGGUUUAAUGAAAUAAAUUCUUUUUUAAUUUAAAUAAUUGAACUUUUUUUUUUAGUUAAAAAACUAAAAUAAUUUUAUGGGACGAGAAGACCCUAUAGAAUUUUAUUUUAAUUAAUUGUGUAUUAAUUUAUAAAUUAUUUAUUUAAUUAAUAAAAAUUUUAUUGGGGUGAUAAUUAAAUUUAAUUAACUUUAAAAUUUUUAUCAUAAAUAUAUGUAUAAUUGAUCUUUUUAUAUUGAUUAAAAAAAUAAAUUACCUUAGGGAUAACAGCAUAAUUAUAUUAAGAAGUUCUUAUUUUUAAUAUUGUUUAUGACCUCGAUGUUGAAUUAAAUAAAAUUAUUAUAUGAAGAUAUAUAAAAAAUAAGUCUGUUCGAC
rnacentral:rRNA from 1 species